GCAAGUCGAGCGGUAGCACAGAGAGCUUGCUCUCGGGUGACGAGCGGCGGACGGGUGAGUAAUGUCUGGGAAACUGCCUGAUGGAGGGGGAUAACUACUGGAAACGGUAGCUAAUACCGCAUAACGUCGCAAGACCAAAGUGGGGGACCUUCGGGCCUCAUGCCAUCAGAUGUGCCCAGAUGGGAUUAGCUAGUAGGUGGGGUAACGGCUCACCUAGGCGACGAUCCCUAGCUGGUCUGAGAGGAUGACCAGCCACACUGGAACUGAGACACGGUCCAGACUCCUACGGGAGGCAGCAGUGGGGAAUAUUGCACAAUGGGCGCAAGCCUGAUGCAGCCAUGCCGCGUGUAUGAAGAAGGCCUUCGGGUUGUAAAGUACUUUCAGCGGGGAGGAAGGCGAUAAGGUUAAUAACCUUGUCGAUUGACGUUACCCGCAGAAGAAGCACCGGCUAACUCCGUGCCAGCAGCCGCGGUAAUACGGAGGGUGCAAGCGUUAAUCGGAAUUACUGGGCGUAAAGCGCACGCAGGCGGUCUGUCAAGUCGGAUGUGAAAUCCCCGGGCUCAACCUGGGAACUGCAUUCGAAACUGGCAGGCUAGAGUCUUGUAGAGGGGGGUAGAAUUCCAGGUGUAGCGGUGAAAUGCGUAGAGAUCUGGAGGA
rnacentral:rRNA from 1 species